UACGUAGGCAGCAAGCGUUGUUCGGAGUUACUGGGCGUAAAGCGCACGUAGGCGGAUCGUUAAGUCGGGGGUGAAUCCUGGAGCUCAACUCCAGAACUGCCUUCGAUACUGGCGAUCUUGAGUCCGGAAGAGGUGAGUGGAACUCCUAGUGUAGAGGUGGAAUUCGUAGAUAUUAGGAAGAACACCAGUGGCGAAGGCGGCUCACUGGUCCGGUACUGACGCUGAGGUGCGAAAGCGUGGGGAGCAAACAGGG
rnacentral:rRNA from 1 species